ACAGGACCAGCUGAGUUAGUUAACUAACGUUACCAGUUUCAGUUGUUUGUUAAUGUGGAAUUUCUCUGUUAAUGUGAAAGGCAGAGCUGCUGAAGCUGCAUACAGGAGUCUACAGGGUGAGCCUCAGAAACAUCUCAGCCGACGGUUUGCGCUGGUCCCCCUUGUGCAACCAAAGCAGCUUGGUUUCAUCUUGGCAUGGACUCCACAAGACCUCUGGAGGUGUCCUGUGAUAUCAAGCAUCGAGAUCUUUAUCAAGAGCAUCACUUGGAGCGCUUUUGACAUUGAUGUUGAAGAGAGGCCAUUCCUGUGAAUCAGCUGACUGUGCUUUCAAGACAAGGAAAGGGGUGGAUUCUGAUGUGAGCUCUUAAGGAUGGAGUCCUGGUCCUCCAUUGCUAACAGCAAAUUGAGAUGAAGAGGACAUCACAAUCUGGGUCUCCGUGGGCCCGGAAUGAUUGGGCACAUGGCAGGAAUUCUCUUUGGACAGGAUGCUGGACUUUCACAGGUAACUGCUAUGAAUUGGACCCUUUAAGACAGAACAGACCAUUCCUAGAGAACGAGGACGUGUGUGGAGAGGUUUCAGGGCAAACUGACCCCAAUUAGAGUGGCACUAGGUGCCAGGGACCGUGGCGUGGCGCGGGGCACUUUGGCAGGCAUCCUGCUUGGAGUUACAUUCAGCUGGUGCAGAUAGCUUGGAGGAAGUGGGGAAACAUGUGAGCUGGUUGAAAGUGAGGGCCAAGUCAGCAGAAGAAAAUCUCUCCAUCCAGCGGAGGCUCCGUCAGCGGCAGCAGAUGGGACUCUGCACAGAGAGAGAAGGGUUGUAGGUUUGAAACCAGGGUCUGUUUAGCUGCUACUGCUCCAUCAACGGGAAGAAUCUGGCUAGAAUCAUCCAUGAAAACAGA